GACGAACGCUGGCGGCGUGCUUAACACAUGCAAGUCGAACGGAAAGGCCCUGCUGUGGUGGGGUGCUCGAGUGGCGAACGGGUGAGUAACACGUGAGUAACCUGCCCUUGACUGUGGGAUAACUGCAGGAAACGGGGGCUAAUACCGGAUAGGAGCUCCUGCUGCAUGGGGGGGGUUGGAAAGUUUCGGCGGUUGGGGAUGGACUCGCGGUUUACCAGCUGGUUGGUGGGGUAGUGGCUUACCAAGGCUUUGACGGGUAGCCGGCCUGAGAGGGUGCCCGGCCACAUUGGGACUGAGAUACGGCCCAGACUCCUCCGGGAGGCAGCAGUGGGGAAUAUUGCCCAAUGGGCGGAAGCCUGAUGCAGCACCGCCGCGUGCGGGAUGCCGGCCUUCGGGUUGUAAACCGCUUUCGCCUGUGACGAAGCGUGAGUGACGGUACUGGGUAAAGAAGCACCGGCUAACUACGUG
rnacentral:rRNA from 1 species